CAACUACUCCCUCUGUCCCAAAUUUCUUGUCUUAGAUUUGUCUAGAUACGGAUGUAUCUAAUACUAAAAUGUGACUUGAUACAUCCGUAUCUAGACAAAUCUAAGACAAGAAUUUUGGGACGGAGGGAGUACUUU
rfam:Triticum aestivum genome assembly, contig: Triticum_aestivum_CS42_TGACv1_scaffold_257504_3DL